rnacentral:rRNA from 1 species
AUAGUACCUUACUACUUGGAUAACCGUGGUAAUUCUAGAGCUAAUACAUGCUAAAAAUCCCGACUUCGGAAGGGAUGUAUUUAUUAGAUUAAAAACCAAUGCCCUUCGGGGCUCACUGGUGAUUCAUGAUAACUCCUCGAAUCGCAUGGCCUUGUGCCGGCGAUGGUUCAUUCAAAUUUCUUCCCUAUCAACUUUCGAUGUUUGGGUAUUGGCCAAACAUGGUUGCAACGGGUAACGGAGGGUUAGGGCUCGACCCCGGAGAAGGAGCCUKAGAAACGGCUACUACAUCCAAGGAAGGCAGCAGGCGCGCAAAUUACCCAAUCCCGACACGGGGAGGUAGUGACAAUAAAUACUGAUACAGGGCUCUUUUGGGUCUUGUAAUUGGAAUGAGUACAAUUUAAAUCCCUUAACGAGGAACAAUUGGAGGGCAAGUCUKGUGCCAGCAGCCGCGGUAAUUCCAGCUCCAAUAGCGUAUAUUAAAGUUGUUGUGGUUAAAAAGCUCGUAGUUGAACCUUGGGCCUKGCUGGCCGGUCCGCCUCACCGCGUGUACUGGUCCSGCCGGGCCUUUCCCUCUGUGGAACCCCAUGCCCUUCACUGGGUGUKGCGGGGAAACAGGACUUUUACUGUUAAAAAAUUAGAGUGCUCCAGGCAGGCCUAUUCUCGAAUACAUUAGCAUGGAAUAAUAGAAUAGG